rnacentral:rRNA from 1 species
GGAAUCUUCGGCAAUGGGGGCAACCCUGACCGAGCAACGCCGCGUGAGUGAAGAAGGUUUUCGGAUCGUAAAGCUCUGUUGUAAGAGAAGAACGUGUGUGAGAGUAACUGUUCAUUCGAUGACGGUAUCUAACCAGCAAGUCACGGCUAACUACGUGCCAG